CUCUGAUCUGAGUCAGAUCCAUCAUCAACAUGGGCCCACGCCCUUUUCCAUUUUCUGGCCGAUUUUGCCCGGCCAGCGGCUCUCUUGCGCGUUAGCGCGCCAUCUUGGACGGCCAUAGGCACGUCAGUCAGGGCAGGUUUUACCUGCAUAAUAUCAUGGGAGACGUGUUUCCGUUUAGCCUGCGCUUUGCGGCCCGACUGAGGCUGCAGCACAGGCUGAGGAUUGGGUACCACAGAGGGAGGCAGGGGUUGGGACAACGCCUGCUGAAUGGUGUGAGACAGGGAUGAGGAUACUGAUCCCAUGGCCGAAGCCAGAGCCCUCUGCAUUGUGGAGUCAAUGAGGGCCUGGAACUCCUGGGAGGGAUUAAGGCCACUUUCCCCAGUGACAGGGGUUUGCAUGGG